rnacentral:rRNA from 1 species
CCCUUAGAUGUUCUGGGCCGCACGCGCGCUACACUGAUGCAUUCAACGAGUCUAAAACCUGGUCUGAGAGGGCUGGGUAAUCUUUUGAAAGUGCAUCGUGAUUGGGAUAGAUGAUUGCAAUUCUUCAUCUUCAACGAGGAAUUCCUAGUAAACGCAAGUCAUCAUCUUGCAUUGAUUACGUCCCUGCCCUUUGUACACACCGCCCGUCGCUCCUACCGAUUGAAUGUUCCGGUGAACACUUUGGAAUAGUUCUUAUGUGAGGGGAAACUCUUUGCUUGGAUACUGUGAAGUUGUGUAAACCUUAACAUUUAGAGGAAGGAGAAGUCGCAACA